UGGCGGACGGGUGAGUAAUGUCUGGGAAACUGCCUGAUGGAGGGGGAUAACUACUGGAAACGGUAGCUAAUACCGCAUAACGUCGCAAGACCAAAGAGGGGGACCUUAGGGCCUCUUGCCAUCAGAUGAACCCAUAUGGGAUUAGCUAGUAGGUAAGGUAACGGCUUACCUAGGCGACGAUCCCUAGCUGGUCUGAGAGGAUGACCAGCCACACUGGAACUGAGACACGGUCCAG
rnacentral:rRNA from 1 species